AUGAGUAAUGCUACUUUCUCUAUCUGCUCGUGGAAUGUACAUGGUCUAGGCGACGAUGCCAAAUGCUUUGACGUUCUCUCUGAACUGAUCUCGACCAAUCCUCACAUUGGCUUAUUACAAGAGUCAAAACUCGAUACGUUCACUGACCCAAAGCUAAGAUCCUUCCCGCCUCGGCAGCUAGACCAAGUUUUCUCCUUACUAGCCGUGGGUACGGCGGGUGGAACCAUUUCUACCGUUAACACUGCCUCCUUCCAAGUGAUCUCCUUCAACCACCUCGCUUUCUCUUCAACCUUGAUCUUGCGAUCAAGGGCAACCGACCGCAACAUAGCCAUCACCAAUAUUUACGCCCCCUCCUCCCGCACUCUCAAGCAAUCCUUCCUCAGUGAGUUACUAGCUAUUGCCCAACCAGACGACUCACCCUGGCUACUUGUGGGAGACUUCAACCUCUUCCGUUUCCCCUCUGACAAAAAUAAUGACGCGUUUAGACAAUCCGAGGCCAAUGCAUUUAACCAAACUCUUAAUGAACUAGCCCUUGUCGAACUACCGCUUCUAGAUCGCCAAUUCACAUGGUCCAAC
rnacentral:rRNA from 1 species